GCGUUCUUAGCUCAGGCGGUUAGAGCGCUACCUUGACAUGGUAGAGGUCGAUGGUUCAAGUCCAUUAGAACGCA
rnacentral:tRNA from 1 species